GAUGAACGCUGGCGGCGUGCCUAAUACAUGCAAGUCGAGCGAAUGGAUUAAGAGCUUGCUCCUAUGAAGUUAGCGGCGGACGGGUGAGUAACACGUGGGUAACCUGCCCAUAAGACUGGGAUAACUCCGGGAAACCGGGGCUAAUACCGGAUAACAUUUUGAACCGCAUGGUUCGAAAUUGAAAGGCGGCUUCGGCUGUCACUUAUGGAUGGACCCGCGUCGCAUUAGUUAGUUGGUGAGGUAAAGGCUCACCAAGGCAACGAUGCGUAGCCGACCUGAGAGGGUGAUCGGCCACACUGGGACUGAGACACGGCCCAGACACCUACGGGAGGCAGCAGUAGGGAAUCUUCCGCAAUGGACGAAAGUCUGACGGAGCAACGCCGCGUGAGUGAUGAAGGCUUUCGGGUCGUAAAACUCUGUUGUUAGGGAAGAACAAGUGCUAGUUGAAUAAGCUGGCACCUUGACGGUACCUAACCAGAAAGCCACGGCUAACUACGUGCCAGCCGCCGCCGUAA
rnacentral:rRNA from 1 species